UACGUAGGGGGCUAGCGUUAUCCGGAUUUACUGGGCGUAAAGAGGGCGUAGGCGGCUCUUCAAGUCGGAUGUAAAAUCUCCCGGCUUAACCGGGAGGGAUCAUUCGAUACUGCUAGGCUAGAGUACAGCAGAGGGAAGCGGAAUUCCCGGUGUAGUGGUGAAAUGCGUAGAUAUCGGGAGGAACACCAGUGGCGAAGGCGGCUUCCUGGGCUGCAACUGACGCUGAGGCCCGAAGGCGUGGGUAACAAACAGGAUUAGAUACCCGAGUA
rnacentral:rRNA from 1 species